AACUAACGCUGGCGGCAUGCCUAACACAUGCAAGUCGAACGGGAUCUUGGCUUCGGUCAGGUGAGAGUGGCGGACGGGUGAAUAACACGUGGGAACCUGCCUUUUGGUUCGGGAUAACCGCGGGAAACUGCGGCUAAUACCGGAUACUCCCGAGAGGGGAAAGAUUUAUCGCCAGAAGAGGGGCCCGCGUCCGAUUAGGU
rnacentral:rRNA from 1 species